UACGGAGGGUGCGAGCGUUAAUCGGAAUCACUGGGCGUAAAGCGCACGUAGGCUGUAAAGUAAGUCAGAGGUGAAAUCCCACGGCUCAACCGUGGAACUGCCUUUGAUACUGCUUAACUAGAAUCCGGGAGAGGGUGGCGGAAUUCCAGGUGUAGGAGUGAAAUCCGUAGAUAUCUGGAGGAACAUCAGUGGCGAAGGCGGCCACCUGGACCGGUAUUGACGCUGAGGUGCGAAAGCGUGGGGAGCAAACAGG
rnacentral:rRNA from 1 species